AAAUGAAAAUAUUGGAGAACACCAGAGCCACUUAAAUUGACAACUCUGGUGUUUCCAUAUAUGCUAUUUGAACACAUCCAGCUGGGGGUCUCUCGUGCAAACAAAUGGUAAAGAAUGCAUUUUUUUCUUGUCUCCAUAUCACCAGGGUUUUCUGCUCACACAGUAUUGCACUAAUGUGCAUAUUCAGUAGGAUUUAUAAUGCAAUUAUGAAUUCAUACCAUAAACCUUUCCUGGUCUCCUGAAAUAGCUUGCAUUUCCUUCAGAUGUGUCCCAAGGCACUCUGAUCUUACCCUUAUUAUGGCACUGACAUUGUAAUUGUUGGUUUACUUCUCUGUCUGUCCCAAAUAUUAUUGGAGCUGUAGGACAGGAACUGUAUCUUGUUCAGUAUACUCCUGUUACCUACUGUAGAAUGAAGCACUUAAGUUGUGCUCCAAAGCUAUUUGCUGGCCUUUACUCAUUCAUUAAAUACCUAUUUGUGGAGUGCCUGUCACUGUGCUGGCACACAUCUGAAAUCCAGGGUUUUCUCCUGGGCCACACUAUAAACAUACAGCUGUGGUUAGGAAAACGAGAGGAAGCCUUGAGUGAUGAGAG
rnacentral:lncRNA from 1 species